GCCUGGCUGGCUCAGUUGGAAGAGCAUGGGACUCUUAAUCUCAGGGUCAUGAGUUCGAGCCCCACAUUGGGCA
rnacentral:tRNA from 1 species